UACGAAGGGGGCGAGCGUUGUUCGGAUUUACUGGGCGUAAAGGGCGCGCAGGCGGCGAUUUUUGUCGAGUGUGAAAGCCCCGGGCUUAACCUGGGAACUGCGCUCGAAACGGGAUUGCUAGAGAUCGGGAGAGGAGAGUGGAAUUCCCAGUGUAGAGGUGAAAUUCGUAGAUAUUGGGAAGAACACCGGUGGCGAAGGCGGCUCUCUGGACCGACACUGACGCUGAGGCGCGAAAGCUAGGGGAGCAAACGGG
rnacentral:rRNA from 1 species